UGAGAGCAAUCUGGCUGCGACAUCUGUCACCCCAUUGAUUGCCGGGGUUGAUUCAGCUGAUCUGGCUGGCUAGACAGGUGUCCCCUUCCUCCCUCA
rnacentral:sRNA from 1 species